rnacentral:rRNA from 1 species
GACGAACGCUGGCGGCGUGCUUAACACAUGCAAGUCGAACGGAAAGGCCCUGCUUUUGUGGGGUGCUCGAGUGGCGAACGGGUGAGUAACACGUGAGUAACCUGCCCUUGACUUUGGGAUAACUUCAGGAAACUGGGGCUAAUACCGGAUAGGAGCUCCUGCUGCAUGGUGGGGGUUGGAAAGUUUCGGCGGUUGGGGAUGGACUCGCGGCUUAUCAGCUUGUUGGUGGGGUAGUGGCUUACCAAGGCUUUGACGGGUAGCCGGCCUGAGAGGGUGACCGGCCACAUGGGGACUGAGAGACGGCCCAGACUGCUACGGGAGGCAGCAGGGGGGAAUAUUGCACAAUGGGCGGAAGCCUGAGGCAGCAACGCCGCGUGCGGGAUGACGGCCUUCGGGUUGUAAACCGCUUUCGCCUGUGACGAAGCGUGAGUGACGGUAAUGGGUAAAGAAGCACCGGCUAACUACGUG